rnacentral:rRNA from 1 species
AAUAAUGGACAAUGGGCGCAAGCCUGAUCUAGCCAUGCCGCGUGAGUGAUGAAGGCCCUAGGUAAGUAAAGCCCUUUUAACGGUGAAGAUAAUGACGGUAACCGGAGAAGCAGCCCCGGCUAACUUCGUGCCAGCAGCCGCAGUAAUACGAAGGGGGCUAGAGUUGUUCGGAAUUACUGGGGGUAAAACGGACGUAGGAGGAUUGGUCAGUUAGGAGUGGAAUACCAGGGCUCAACCCUGGAACUGCCUUUAAUACUGCCGGUCUAGAGUUCGAAAGAGGUAAGUAAAAGUCCGAGUGUGGGGGUGAAAUUCGUAGAUAUUCGGAGGAACACCAGUGGCGAAGGCAGCUCACCGGCUCGAUACUGACUCUGAGGUGCGAAAGCGUGGGGAGCAAACAG